rfam:Daphnia pulex DAPPTscaffold_73_Cont3715, whole genome shotgun sequence.
GGCCUGUUAGCUCAGUUGGUUAGAGCGCAGUGCUAAUAACGCGCAGGUCAUGAGUUCGAUCCUCUUACGGGCCA